AUUGAACGCUGGCGGCAGGCUUAACACAUGCAAGUCGAGCGAGCGGCGGACGGGUGAGUAAUGUCUGGGAAACUGCCUGAUGGAGGGGGAUAACUACUGGAAACGGUAGCUAAUACCGCAUACCAUCAGAUGUACCCAGAUGGGAUUAGCUAGGAGGUGGGGUAAUGGCUCACCUAGGCGACGAUCCCUAGCUGGUCUGAGAGGAUGAACAGCCACACUGGAACGGAGACACGGUCUAGACGCCUACGGGAGGCAGCAGUGGGGAAUAUUGCACAAUGGGAGCAAGCCUGAUGCAGCCAUGCCGCGUGUGUGAAGAAGGCCUUCGGGUUGUAAAGCACUUUCAGCGAGGAGGCGUUACUCGCAGAAGAAGCACCGGCUAACUCCGUGCCAGCAGACGCGGUAAUUC
rnacentral:rRNA from 1 species